CAAGUGCCAUGUCCUUGAAUACAAUAUAUCAGUACUGAUUUUUUUUCUUUCAUAAAACUAUUACAAAUAAUUAAUUGUAUCUGUGUUCCUCCUGAAUGAUCUUUUCUGGCAUUCAUCAAUGCAGUGUGGAAACAAACCUGACAGAUACUCUCCUUUACAUCAGUUUUCUGUCAGAGUAUGUCCCUUUUUUGUCAGGGAUUCAGUUAAGAACUCCUUAAAAGUAUUGUUGCAAUGUAACUUGAUCCCUAUUUCUCCCACAAAAAUAUAGUACAGCAAUCCUGAUUGCUUCUAGGCUGCAGAUUUUCACUGUGAGAUGUGACAACAGGAGGUCUUCUGUAUUGAGCAAGAGUGUAAGUGUGUUCAUAUUUGGCUGUGCAGCCACCUUGAAUCAUUUCUGCCUCUUGCUUCUCUGCCUCUUGUACUUCUUAAUCCUCUUCCCAUCCAGCUUUGUCUGUGUCAUUCGUUUACAUACUUUCAUGAUCUUCCUUCGUUUUUAGUGUUCACAUCACAACUUUCUAAGUGUCCCUGCAUAAUACAUGCUUACACCCCUUUUCCUUCCAUUCCUCCUUCAUUGUGUAUAUAACUUUCAAACUACCAAGCAAUAGCUAUACCUUUCAAAAUUUAUUGGAACUUCUGCCACUCUUUUCCUAGAUGUGCAAAAAGAGUUGUGUGUCACAGUUCUGCGUUAUUCCAGUGUGGCACAGUAUGUCUGUUGAUACAUAGAGAAAACAUUUUAUUUUCUGGUUUAUUUGUUGUCAGAAUUCUUGAAAAGAAGCAGCAAUGUUUUUCAAGUUACUGUUAUAUGGGAGAUUGAAUGUUUGGUGAGCAUCCCUCUGAGAUGGCUUGGUGUUUUAGAGUAUUACAAGCUCAGGCAUGAACACUUGAGAAUAUAAAAGGAGUAGUUCUCAUUCUCAGUGCUGUUCCUGAAAUUUCAGCUGUUUAGGCAGAAAAACGGUCAUAGGAGUUGUGGGAAACUGAGCCAAAUAAACAGAUGGGAUCUUCUAGUCCAGCUGGAAGAGCUACUCUUCUGUGCCGGGUUCAAAUAGAGGAUUUCAGAGCUAGAAAAAAUCUACAGAGAAAUUCCUCAAGACAGGAGAGUCUUUAGUUGAGUUAGGAAUACACCAGCCAAACAGUGAUUUCAGGGUAUUUUGUUAUCCUUAUUGUCUAUGAGGCAUUCAAAUAUAAAAAAUUAAGGAGCAGUGGCUGAAUAUCUGCUCAGGGGGAAUGAACUCAAAAGGGCAGUAAUUGUUGUAGGAGAUAAGGCCACACCAGUCUCAAGAACGAAAGCAAUUCUCAUAAUUUUCUUAGCUUUCAGAUAUAUGACAGCCUGAAAAAUAACUUGUUAGUCAGAAGACUUGCUUCUUGCCAGAUAUACACACGAUCCAAGUAGAGACGUGCUGUGAAGGACAGUUACACAACAGAGGAAGAAGUACUGAGCUUAUAAGAUAAAUGGUGAGUGUGAGCUAUGGGUGGGACGAUGAAGUUACUUUCUUUGCUGUAGUCUGGGUCAAAAAGUGAGAACACAUCUGCACUAGAUGUGGCAUCCUGCUGUCGUACCUGGUUGUUUCAGUUGGAUUCUGUUGCUUCUGCAAGGUUGACUACCAACAAGAAAAGAAAUCAGUGUAAUUUUCAAGAAAAUUGUUUUCUGGGGAAUAGUGGUUAAAUGAAAAUAUUGGUUCUGUAUAAUGUUAAAUUUAAUAUAACUAAUAUUGAGCAUUAGAGAUGACAAACCUACCAGCCAAAAAUAUAAAUAAAUGGAAUUCUAAAUGCAAGCCACUUAAUCAUUUCUAUUUGUUUUUCCUAUAUAGCAUCCAAAAAACCCCAAACAACCUUGAUCACAAAAGAUGUAAAAAUGAAGUGAACAAUCAAAAAUCUGCUGCACUCGGGAGUGAGUAUCAAGAUCCAUAUGUGCCUGUUUGCUGACACAGGAUUAGGAAGAAGGCUGCAGUUCUGUAUGCUUGGUCUGGACAAAAUGUUCUUGGAAGGGAAGCUUAGGAAAAAUACUUUUCAAAUAUUUUCAGGAGAAUGAGAAUUACGCCUUAUCCUGACUGCCCUCUAUAUGUACCGAGGGGUUAUUGGUCACAUGGGAUUAUUUCUGUUCCAUGCCUCAGAAGAGCCAUGAGGGUUGGACAUGCAUAGUCCUGGUUAAAAGUUUAAAAUUCAUCACCAUAAUAACCUUUAAUACUCUGUUUAAAUUUGUGGCAGCUCUGGAAGUGUCUAUCAGAAAAAGACUGUCUGUGGGAAGGAAGAGAAAAGCAAAUUGCAGCACAGAAACUGAGAGCUGUGAUGAGAUUGUCCUGCCAUUUCAAACUGAAGUAAGGAGAGCUUAAACUGAAAAUGGUGAGAGUCUGAGAGUGUGUGACUCACUAAUACUGGUUGGAGUAUCUAGCUGGGAAUGGUGGGUCUUAUUUUUCUUUUCUUCCUUAAGAAAGUUUCUGUAUAUUUCCUCUGUGGCCAAGGGCAUGUUCUUCUUUACAAGGACCCAGACAUAGGAGCAGGACUCUUAACACAAUAGUUUAUUGAUUCAUGCUCACAUUCUUAGCUGGUCAGAUAAAUCUUUCCUGUAGGGCCCUGCAGGGUGCUUAGAAGAUUCUCCAGAGAAGUAUUUGGGUUUUGAAUCCCCAAAGCAGAUGAGACUGUUGAGUGUGCUUUCUGUGGCUCUUAGGUGAAUAAGAGAUACCACUGUUGGGUCUUACGAAAAAAAGAUAGAAGCUUCACUGUGUUCUCUGUAAAGAUUAACCUGCUAGGAGUACUUUGAGACUAGUGGAUUUAACCUUUAAAGGGAGAGGAAUACUUGGUUUACACAGACUAUGAGUUUAGGUGUGAGAGUGGUGAUGGGCACCUUUGCAAAUGUGAGUAUGUUUGAGUACUUUACACAUCACUUAGCACACUUCAAGUAUAUAUGCAUUAAUAUGUAAGUAAUUUGUGGAGUCUGGGUAUCUCCUGAAUUUGGAGACAGGUGAAUUCCCCCCAAAAAUAGAAAAUGAAGCUUUCUAAGGGCCAGCUUUCUCAUCUGUGUUAUUAGUAUGCCAGGAAUGGUCUCCAAGAAAAAUUGAAAUAAUGUUUAAAGUUAGAAAGGCAUAUUUGUGAAGGGUAGAUUGCUAACUUCCAACUAACCUUUGAGGUAAACUGGAAAUGAAAAUGUUUCAGAGAAUGAAUACUACUGAGCUGCUGCCCUUUUAGCUUCUAUUUCCAAGUAAAGGCUCAAAGAGGUCCCCUUCUGAAAGACAAUUCUGAGUGGUGUUUUCAGUCUGUAGAUCAGACACUAUUUCUGAUGGGUCUGCAACUGCUUGAUAUGGGCCUGCAAAUGCUGAGACCCUUGUCUUUACCUUUUCUUUAGAAGUUGCUAUACUUCUACUGAAUGUAUUUAGAGAAAGCAAGAGCAUUCGUGUCAGGUAUGUCUUAAAUGUCAGUUCAUUUAUUUUAUGCUUUACUUUUUAAAGUGUGUUUUCAGCUUCAUAAUCUGGAAGAUAGUCUUUUGUUUUGCAAGAAUAAGUUUUAUUGCUUUUAUUUUUAAACUUGUCUAAGGGGAACUGAGACAAAUCUGACCGUUUCAAGGUUCUUGCAUUGGCAAGGAGGUAAGGAAGCCAAGGAAAGUAGCAAGUCCUUUGCAGUGCUUGUAGACCAAACUUGCAAUUAUCACCUUCCAAACUACUGGAGUAAUUCUGGGAGCUUGUAUCUUCAAGUACUCAGAGAAGAAGAGGAAUUCUGUGUUGUAAUCUGCAGCCAAUGCCUCUGACAAAGGGCAGGCAGUGAUGAUACAAACUAUGAUGUGAUGAAGUUUUCUCAGCUGAGUAAAGGAUUUUUUCUGGGGGGGAGAGGGAAAUGU